CAAGGUGCUUGCAAAGGUUGCAUUUCACUCCGGGAGCCGAAAGCCGAGUUGUUGGGAGUGACCUGGGAACUCGGCUCGUUUGAGAGCCCAGCCUGCAGCCCCGGGACAGCAGCAGCUGUCUGUCCCUCCUCUGAGAGGCGGGGGCAUUUCUGGAGGGAGCGUCACCCUCCGAGGCAGAGGACAGAGCUUAUGAAGGCUCGGUGCUUCUGGACUCUGACCCGCCACAGGACGUGCAAUGGCCGUGGAAGUGGAAACACCGAUUUUCUUUAGUGCUGUAGUGUGAAGAAUGCAAAACGUGUUUGAAGAGACAGUGCUUUUUUGGCUCCAAGCCAAUUCUAGGGAUGUUCAAGCGUUUCCGGAAACGGGUGUUCUUGCAACAACCUUCUUGUGAAUUAAUGAGAAAAUAGGGUGGGAAAAAAAUCAGCACAUCAAGUAGCUGUGACACACAGCACGGAAAAGUCUCCACCGGCCAGCCCACGCACAAGAAAAAGCCCGAUGGAAGGGCGGGGUGGCACAUCGGGGCCACCGGGCUGUCGGCAGCGGUUGUAGCGGCGGCAGCUCCAGGAGGCUGCCCGGCUGGAGAAGAAGGGACAGGGGGCGGGAAGAGUUUCUCGUCCAACUCUCUCUCGGGAGCAGCCAAACCGCGCGACUCCCGCUCGUUCCCGCGUUUACGGGAACACGGGGCGGGGCCGAGGAGCGACGGCUCCGCCAUCCGCUCGUCGGGGCUGCUGGGUCGGUCUUUGCGGGAGGCGGCUCUCCCGGUGCCCGGGCGGGGCUGCGCUGGGGUCCGUCUUGUGCCCGGCGGGCGGGCGGGGAGGGCGAGGCCGCUUGUGGGCACGCGUGGGUGCGCGGCCGGCGCCGCCGCUUGGCGGGCAGCUGGAGCGGGGGCAGCGGGUGUGUCCGCCGGGUCCGGCGGUGUCGGACGGUACGGAAAAAUGCCGUAGAAGAUGGUUGAGACUUUGCUGUAGUGUGAAGAAUGCAAAACGUGUUUGAAGAGACAGGGCUUUUGUGGCUCCAAGCCACUUCUAUGGAUGGUCAAGCGUUUCCAGAAAUCCUUCUUGCAACAGCCCUCUUGUGAGUCACAGACUUAGCCAAUGCUCACAAUCCUUAACACAAGCCCACGUGUAGCCAGGAGCAGGCUGAUGCAUUCUUCAGUUUAGCUUGAACAAACAGCCCUUGCGGGCUGGCAAAGGCAAGUCCCAGAGCUGCAGAGAGCAGCAGCAGGAAUGGAGGCCAAGCUUUGCCAGGUUCCUGAAGAGGGAGGACCUUGAGAAUGAGGCGCGGGACUGACCAUGCACCAAAGAAGAGCCCUGUUACGAAUUCCUGACCAAACCUGGGAAGAAGAAACAAAAUGCCAGAGAUGAGAUUACUGAAUGCAACAAGAAGACACAACAGAGAUGACGGAGGAAACCAGCAAGAGGGGAAGGAGAGGAGGAGCAGAGGACAGGUAAGCAAACAAGAUCCUUGAAUCUCACCCCAUCCGAGGAGUGAUAGAAGGGUUCCCAAAGCCCAGAUUCUGAAUAAAAAGCAUACCUCGUAAGCUUCUCUCUCCACGUCUCUAAUUUGCUGCUCGGCCUCAGGUCUGCUCUGACAGUAGGCCACACUUCUCUGCCUCAUUUCAGCAUCUGGAUGCUUCAGAAGAAAUGUGUGAGCUGCUGCAAUAGCCUUUGCAAGGUUAUGAGCCUGAAGAGGGAUGGGAAAAAGAGGAAGAGGGGGAAAAGCGUUAACGGGGGAAAAAAAAAAAUCAAAGUUUCCCAGUUUUUGUCAACAAAUUUUCCUGCAGCUUCUAGAUUCCCAGCUUACUUGUACUGAAGCCACGGUCUCGGCAGAUACAAUCGUACACUAGAUCUGAUACAAUUCUUCUCAGUUUUACUAACAGAUGCAUAAUGAGGAAAUUCUUUUUAAUGUUAAAAUCUGUUAUUGUUGCAGAUAGCAUAGGUGAUGACUUGAAGUUAACAGAAGAGCAUUUUUCCCCUCCACUUGCCCUGUUCAUGAAGCUGACAAGGCAGAAGCAUAUACUGUUGCUCCUGUGUGGGAUUAGUCUCACAGCAAUUACUGAGGCCAGCCUGUGACUGCUGACCAGGAGCCAUCACCGCCCGUGUUUACACGGCGUUCGUGUCACUUCUUGGCCCAGCAGCACGCAAGACAAUAUCCCGAUAACGUAUCUGCCUGAUGGUGUUACAGAGUUCGAGCAAACGGCAGGGACCUGUGUGUGAUCUGCCGCAACAGCUUUUGGAAGGUCGUGAGCCUAAACAGGGGUGGGAAGAAGAGGAAAGGGAAAGGAAAAGUUAACUGGGAAAAAAAAAUCCACGUUUCCCACUUUCUGUCAACAAACUCUCCUGCAGCCUCUCUGUUCCCCAGCUGACAUCUAGGGAAGCCACAGUCUCAGCAGAUACAAUGUUACACUAGAACUGAUACAAAUCUUUCCUGUUUUCUUACUAGAGGAGCAUGUUUUCCUAGGAGCAUGUUUGUUUUAAUGUCAAAAUCUGUUAUUGUAGCAGAUCGCAUCAUAAUGAUUGUAAGUUCAAAAGACGACUUUUUCUCCCUUCCUCCCGUACUGCAUUUCUAGUAUUUACAGAGGGAGAGAGAAAGGAAAAGGCUGAAGUAUUUGUAAAAUGUUAAGAAACUCUUCCUUUUUUCAGGCAAGGUGCAGGUCCCACGGUGUCCUUUGGUCUCCGACGUUCUCCAGUGGCGUCCUGUGGUUUCCAGCGGCCUUCUUCAGUCUCCCACGGUCUCCUGCAAUCUCCGGCGGUCUCCAGCGGGCUUCUGUGUGCCUGCAUUUAUAGCUGUUAUUGUCUAUAUGUACAUAUUUUUCUAAACUCUAUUGUCUAUAGACACACGUAUCGGGAGAAGGAGGGAGAAAACCCAAGUCUUCAUUAUUUGCUGAAAUGUGAAAACCUUUUUCCUUUUUAAACCAAGACACAGAGCCAAUGGUGUCCUGUGGUUUCUAGCGGUGUCCUUCGGUCUCCGACGGUCUCCUGCGGUCUCCGGUGGUCUCGUGUGGGCUUCUGUGUGCACACAUUUAUCGAUUUAAUUUUCUAUUUUUACAUGUCUUUAUAAACUAUACAGUCUGCAUACACGUAUAUAGGGAGAAGGAGAGAAAAUUUGCCUCCGUUUUUAACGCAAACAUUUGUCCAAAGGUGUAAGAACCGUGUCUUUGAAUUCCCACAAUUCCUUCCAACAGACGUUUUAUUUACUUCAAAAGAACCACCUUCAGAGGAGGAAUCCCGCCACGGCACUAUGGGACGAGGAGCAGGAACAGAGGUGACACAGGACCCAUCUCACGUUUGUUUCCACAACUCUCCCCAAGCACAGGAUGUUUCGGAAAGAUGGACCCAAUUGGAAAUCACUCUGCGUGUGAAAUUGGGACCAUGUUUUUGAAACACCCUGUAGUAUUGCUGGAGACACAUCCCCUGGUCCCUCUGCUUCCAAAUUUGCAUGAAGCCUUGUGUCGAGUCCCCAGCUCCAUUCAAGAGAGUCUGGUUAGGCACUGGCAAAACCAGUGUUCGUCCUGUACCAUGUAUGAAUCAAAAUUUGUCGCACACCAUUUUCCCCUUGUAAAAGAAAGGCAAACGAAUAUCCAAAAAAUCCCCAAACGUAUGAAAAUGACCAACCGUACAUCAGUAAAAAGAAAUCAAUAAUUCAAUAAAGAACACUGAUGGUCAACAGAAAACGAAGGGACAAUCCACCGGGUGCUGAUCCAGUGCUCUUUCCCGUGCUGUACUCUUUGCAUUUCACUAGUGGCUUCGCGGUUGUUCCUGUCACCUGCCUGCGCUGACUGGCACAGUCCCUGUCACUGCCCCAGCUGGCACUUCAUCCCCCUCUGCUGCCGGAUGGCACAGCAGCCCUGCAGCUCCGCAGCGAGUCAAGCCCAGCGUUGCAUCUCCCUGCCCUGGUCACGGCGAAGGGCUCCUGUGCCCAGCCCGGCAGGGCAGCGGCAUCAGGUGCUUGCAAAGGUUGCAUUUCACUCCGGGAGCCGAAAGCCGAGUUGUUGGGAGUGACCUGGGAACUCGGCUCGUUUGAGAGCCCAGCCUGCAGCCCCGGGACAGCAGCAGCUGUCUGUCCCUCCUCUGAGAGGCGGGGGCAUUUCUGGAGGGAGCGUCACCCUCCGAGGCAGAGGACAGAGCUUAUGAAGGCUCGGUGCUUCUGGACUCUGACCCGCCACAGGACGUGCAAUGGCCGUGGAAGUGGAAACACCGAUUUUCAUUAGUGCUGUAGUGUGAAGAAUGCAAAACGUGUUUGAAGAGACAGUGCUUUUGUGGCUCCAAGCCAAUUCUAGGGAUGUUCAAGCGUUUCCGGAAACGGGUGUUCUUGCAACAACCUUCUUGUGAAUUAAUGAGAAAAUAGGGUGUGAAAAAAAUCAGCACAUCAAGUAGCUGUGACACACAGCACGGAAAAGUCUCCACCGGCCAGCCCACGCACAAGAAAAAGCCCGAUGGAAGGGCGGGGUGGCACAUCGGGGCCACCGGGCUGUCGGCAGCGGUUGUAGCGGCGGCAGCUCCAGGAGGCUGCCCGGCUGGAGAAGAAGGGACAGGGGGCGGGAAGAGUUUCUCGUCCAACUCUCUCUCGGGAGCAGCCAAACCGCGCGACUCCCGCUCGUUCCCGCGUUUACGGGAACACGGGGCGGGGCCGAGGAGCGACGGCUCCGCCAUCCGCUCGUCGGGGCUGCUGGGUCGGUCUUUGCGGGAGGCGGCUCUCCCGGUGCCCGGGCGGGGCUGCGCUGGGGUCCGUCUUGUGCCCGGCGGGCGGGCGGGCGGGGAGGGCGAGGCCGCUUGUGGGCACGCGUGGGUGCGCGGCCGGCGCCGCCGCUUGGCGGGCAGCUGGAGCGGGGGCAGCGGGUGUGUCCGCCGGGUCCGGCGGUGUCGGACGGUACGGAAAAAUGCCGUAGAAGAUGGUUGAGACUUUGCUGUAGUGUGAAGAAUGCAAAACGUGUUUGAAGAGACAGGGCUUUUGUGGCUCCAAGCCACUUCUAUGGAUGGUCAAGCGUUUCCAGAAAUCCUUCUUGCAACAGCCCUCUUGUGAGUCACAGACUUAGCCAAUGCUCACAAUCCUUAACACAAGCCCACGUGUAGCCAGGAGCAGGCUGAUGCAUUCUUCAGUUUAGCUUGAACAAACAGCCCUUGCGGGCUGGCAAAGGCAAGUCCCAGAGCUGCAGAGAGCAGCAGCAGGAAUGGAGGCCAAGCUUUGCCAGGUUCCUGAAGAGGGAGGACCUUGAGAAUGAGGCGCGGGACUGACCAUGCACCAAAGAAGAGCCCUGUUACGAAUUCCUGACCAAACCUGGGAAGAAGAAACAAAAUGCCAGAGAUGAGAUUACUGAAUGCAACAAGAAGACACAGCAGAGAUGACGGAGGAAAACAGCAAGAGGGGAAGGAGAGGAGGAGCAGAGGACAGGUAAGCAAACAAGAUCCUUGAAUCUCACCCCAUCCGAGGAGUGAUAGAAGGGUUCCCAAAGCCCAGAUUCUGAAUAAAAAGCAUACCUCGUAAGCUUCUCUCUCCACGUCUCUAAUUUGCUGCUCGGCCUCAGGUCUGCUCUGACAGUAGGCCACACUUCUCUGCCUCAUUUCAGCAUCUGGAUGCUUCAGAAGAAAUGUGUGAGCUGCUGCAAUAGCCUUUGCAAGGUUAUGAGCCUGAAGAGGGAUGGGAAAAAGAGGAAGAGGGGGAAAAGCGUUAACGGGGGAAAAAAAAAAAUCAAAGUUUCCCAGUUUUUGUCAACAAAUUUUCCUGCAGCUUCUAGAUUCCCAGCUUACUUGUACUGAAGCCACGGUCUCGGCAGAUACAAUCGUACACUAGAUCUGAUACAAUUCUUCUCAGUUUUACUAACAGAUGCAUAAUGAGGAAAUUCUUUUUAAUGUUAAAAUCUGUUAUUGUUGCAGAUAGCAUAGGUGAUGACUUGAAGUUAACAGAAGAGCAUUUUUCCCCUCCACUUGCCCUGUUCAUGAAGCUGACAAGGCAGAAGCAUAUACUGUUGCUCCUGUGUGGGAUUAGUCUCACAGCAAUUACUGAGGCCAGCCUGUGACUGCUGACCAGGAGCCAUCACCGCCCGUGUUUACACGGCGUUCGUGUCACUUCUUGGCCCAGCAGCACGCAAGACAAUAUCCCGAUAACGUAUCUGCCUGAUGGUGUUACAGAGUUCGAGCAAACGGCAGGGACCUGUGUGUGAUCUGCCGCAACAGCUUUUGGAAGGUCGUGAGCCUAAACAGGGGUGGGAAGAAGAGGAAAGGGAAAGGAAAAGUUAACUGGGAAAAAAAAAUCCACGUUUCCCACUUUCUGUCAACAAACUCUCCUGCAGCCUCUCUGUUCCCCAGCUGACAUCUAGGGAAGCCACAGUCUCAGCAGAUACAAUGUUACACUAGAACUGAUACAAAUCUUUCCUGUUUUCUUACUAGAGGAGCAUGUUUUCCUAGGAGCAUGUUUGUUUUCAUGUCAAAAUCUGUUAUUGUAGCAGAUCGCAUCAUAAUGAUUGUAAGUUCAAAAGACGACUUUUUCUCCCUUCCUCCCGUACUGCAUUUCUAGUAUUUACAGAGGGAGAGAGAAAGGAAAAGGCUGAAGUAUUUGUAAAAUGUUAAGAAACUCUUCCUUUUUUCAGGCAAGGUGCAGGUCCCACGGUGUCCUUUGGUCUCCGACGUUCUCCAGUGGCGUCCUGUGGUUUCCAGCGGCCUUCUUCAGUCUCCCACGGUCUCCUGCAAUCUCCGGCGGUCUCCAGCGGGCUUCUGUGUGCAUGCAUUUAUAGCUGUUAUUGUCUGUAUGUACAUAUUUUUCUAAACUCUAUUGUCCAUAGACACACGUAUAGGGAGAAGGAGGGAGAAAACCCAAGUCUUCAUUAUUUGCUGAAAUGUGAAAACCUUUUUCCUUUUUAAACCAAGACACAGAGCCAAUGGUGUCCUGUGGUUUCUAGCGGUGUCCUUCGGUCUCCGACGGUCUCCUGCGGUCUCCGGUGGUCUCGUGUGGGCUUCUGUGUGCACACAUUUAUCGAUUUAAUUUUCUAUUUUUACAUGUCUUUAUAAACUAUACAGUCUGCAUACACGUAUAUAGGGAGAAGGAGAGAAAAUUUGCCUCCGUUUUUAACGCAAACAUUUGUCCAAAGGUGUAAGAACCGUGUCUUUGAAUUCCCACAAUUCCUUCCAACAGACGUUUUAUUUACUUCAAAAGAACCACCUUCAGAGGAGGAAUCCCGCCACGGCACUAUGGGACGAGGAGCAGGAACAGAGGUGACACAGGACCCAUCUCACGUUUGUUUCCACAACUCUCCCCAAGCACAGGAUGUUUCGGAAAGAUGGACCCAAUUGGAAAUCACUCUGCGUGUGAAAUUGGGACCAUGUUUUUGAAACACCCUGUAGUAUUGCUGGAGACACAUCCCCUGGUCCCUCUGCUUCCAAAUUUGCAUGAAGCCUUGUGUCGAGUCCCCAGCUCCAUUCAAGAGAGUCUGGUUAGGCACUGGCAAAACCAGUGUUCGUCCUGUACCAUGUAUGAAUCAAAAUUUGUCGCACACCAUUUUCCCCUUGUAAAAGAAAGGCAAACGAAUAUCCAAAAAAUCCCCAAACGUAUGAAAAUGACCAACCGUACAUCAGUAAAAAGAAAUCAAUAAUUCAAUAAAGAACACUGAUGGUCAACAGAAAACGAAGGGACAAUCCACCGGGUGCUGAUCCAGUGCUCUUUCCCGUGCUGUACUCUUUGCAUUUCACUAGUGGCUUCGCGGUUGUUCCUGUCACCUGCCUGCGCUGACUGGCACAGUCCCUGUCACUGCCCCAGCUGGCACUUCAUCCCCCUCUGCUGCCGGAUGGCACAGCAGCCCUGCAGCUCCGCAGCGAGUCAAGCCCAGCGUUGCAUCUCCCUGCCCUGGUCACGGCGAAGGGCUCCUGUGCCCAGCCCGGCAGGGCAGCGGCAUCAGGUGCUUGCAAAGGUUGCAUUUCACUCCGGGAGCCGAAAGCCGAGUUGUUGGGAGUGACCUGGGAACUCGGCUCGUUUGAGAGCCCAGCCUGCAGCCCCGGGACAGCAGCAGCUGUCUGUCCCUCCUCUGAGAGGCGGGGGCAUUUCUGGAGGGAGCGUCACCCUCCGAGGCAGAGGACAGAGCUUAUGAAGGCUCGGUGCUUCUGGACUCUGACCCGCCACAGGACGUGCAAUGGCCGUGGAAGUGGAAACAUCGAUUUUCUUUAGUGCUGUAGUGUGAAGAAUGCAAAACGUGUUUGAAGAGACAGUGCUUUUUUGGCUCCAAGCCAAUUCUAGGGAUGUUCAAGCGUUUCCGGAAACGGGUGUUCUUGCAACAACCUUCUUGUGAAUUAAUGAGAAAAUAGGGUGUGAAAAAAAUCAGCACAUCAAGUAGCUGUGACACACAGCACGGAAAAGUCUCCACCGGCCAGCCCACGCACAAGAAAAAGCCCGAUGGAAGGGCGGGGUGGCACAUCGGGGCCACCGGGCUGUCGGCAGCGGUUGUAGCGGCGGCAGCUCCAGGAGGCUGCCCGGCUGGAGAAGAAGGGACAGGGGGCGGGAAGAGUUUCUCGUCCAACUCUCUCUCGGGAGCAGCCAAACCGCGCGACUCCCGCUCGUUCCCGCGUUUACGGGAACACGGGGCGGGGCCGAGGAGCGACGGCUCCGCCAUCCGCUCGUCGGGGCUGCUGGGUCGGUCUUUGCGGGAGGCGGCUCUCCCGGUGCCCGGGCGGGGCUGCGCUGGGGUCCGUCUUGUGCCCGGCGGGCGGGCGGGGAGGGCGAGGCCGCUUGUGGGCACGCGUGGGUGCGCGGCCGGCGCCGCCGCUUGGCGGGCAGCUGGAGCGGGGGCAGCGGGUGUGUCCGCCGGGUCCGGCGGUGUCGGACGGUACGGAAAAAUGCCGUAGAAGAUGGUUGAGACUUUGCUGUAGUGUGAAGAAUGCAAAACGUGUUUGAAGAGACAGGGCUUUUGUGGCUCCAAGCCACUUCUAUGGAUGGUCAAGCGUUUCCAGAAAUCCUUCUUGCAACAGCCCUCUUGUGAGUCACAGACUUAGCCAAUGCUCACAAUCCUUAACACAAGCCCACGUGUAGCCAGGAGCAGGCUGAUGCAUUCUUCAGUUUAGCUUGAACAAACAGCCCUUGCGGGCUGGCAAAGGCAAGUCCCAGAGCUGCAGAGAGCAGCAGCAGGAAUGGAGGCCAAGCUUUGCCAGGUUCCUGAAGAGGGAGGACCUUGAGAAUGAGGCGCGGGACUGACCAUGCACCAAAGAAGAGCCCUGUUACGAAUUCCUGACCAAACCUGGGAAGAAGAAACAAAAUGCCAGAGAUGAGAUGACUGAAUGCAACAAGAAGACACAGCAGAGAUGACGGAGGAAAACAGCAAGAGGGGAAGGAGAGGAGGAGCAGAGGACAGGUAAGCAAACAAGAUCCUUGAAUCUCACCCCAUCCGAGGAGUGAUAGAAGGGUUCCCAAAGCCCAGAUUCUGAAUAAAAAGCAUACCUCGUAAGCUUCUCUCUCCACGUCUCUAAUUUGCUGCUCGGCCUCAGGUCUGCUCUGACAGUAGGCCACACUUCUCUGCCUCAUUUCAGCAUCUGGAUGCUUCAGAAGAAAUGUGUGAGCUGCUGCAAUAGCCUUUGCAAGGUUAUGAGCCUGAAGAGGGAUGGGAAAAAGAGGAAGAGGGGGAAAAGCGUUAACGGGGGAAAAAAAAAAAUCAAAGUUUCCCAGUUUUUGUCAACAAAUUUUCCUGCAGCUUCUAGAUUCCCAGCUUACUUGUACUGAAGCCACGGUCUCGGCAGAUACAAUCGUACACUAGAUCUGAUACAAUUCUUCUCAGUUUUACUAACAGAUGCAUAAUGAGGAAAUUCUUUUUAAUGUUAAAAUCUGUUAUUGUUGCAGAUAGCAUAGGUGAUGACUUGAAGUUAACAGAAGAGCAUUUUUCCCCUCCACUUGCCCUGUUCAUGAAGCUGACAAGGCAGAAGCAUAUACUGUUGCUCCUGUGUGGGAUUAGUCUCACAGCAAUUACUGAGGCCAGCCUGUGACUGCUGACCAGGAGCCAUCACCGCCCGUGUUUACACGGCGUUCGUGUCACUUCUUGGCCCAGCAGCACGCAAGACAAUAUCCCGAUAACGUAUCUGCCUGAUGGUGUUACAGAGUUCGAGCAAACGGCAGGGACCUGUGUGUGAUCUGCCGCAACAGCUUUUGGAAGGUCGUGAGCCUAAACAGGGGUGGGAAGAAGAGGAAAGGGAAAGGAAAAGUUAACUGGGAAAAAAAAAUCCACGUUUCCCACUUUCUGUCAACAAACUCUCCUGCAGCCUCUCUGUUCCCCAGCUGACAUCUAGGGAAGCCACAGUCUCAGCAGAUACAAUGUUACACUAGAACUGAUACAAAUCUUUCCUGUUUUCUUACUAGAGGAGCAUGUUUUCCUAGGAGCAUGUUUGUUUUAAUGUCAAAAUCUGUUAUUGUAGCAGAUCGCAUCAUAAUGAUUGUAAGUUCAAAAGACGACUUUUUCUCCCUUCCUCCCGUACUGCAUUUCUAGUAUUUACAGAGGGAGAGAGAAAGGAAAAGGCUGAAGUAUUUGUAAAAUGUUAAGAAACUCUUCCUUUUUUCAGGCAAGGUGCAGGUCCCACGGUGUCCUUUGGUCUCCGACGUUCUCCAGUGGCGUCCUGUGGUUUCCAGCGGCCUUCUUCAGUCUCCCACGGUCUCCUGCAAUCUCCGGCGGUCUCCAGCGGGCUUCUGUGUGCCUGCAUUUAUAGCUGUUAUUGUCUAUAUGUACAUAUUUUUCUAAACUCUAUUGUCUAUAGACACACGUAUCGGGAGAAGGAGGGAGAAAACCCAAGUCUUCAUUAUUUGCUGAAAUGUGAAAACCUUUUUCCUUUUUAAACCAAGACACAGAGCCAAUGGUGUCCUGUGGUUUCUAGCGGUGUCCUUCGGUCUCCGACGGUCUCCUGCGGUCUCCGGUGGUCUCGUGUGGGCUUCUGUGUGCACACAUUUAUCGAUUUAAUUUUCUAUUUUUACAUGUCUUUAUAAACUAUACAGUCUGCAUACACGUAUAUAGGGAGAAGGAGAGAAAAUUUGCCUCCGUUUUUAACGCAAACAUUUGUCCAAAGGUGUAAGAACCGUGUCUUUGAAUUCCCACAAUUCCUUCCAACAGACGUUUUAUUUACUUCAAAAGAACCACCUUCAGAGGAGGAAUCCCGCCACGGCACUAUGGGACGAGGAGCAGGAACAGAGGUGACACAGGACCCAUCUCACGUUUGUUUCCACAACUCUCCCCAAGCACAGGAUGUUUCGGAAAGAUGGACCCAAUUGGAAAUCACUCUGCGUGUGAAAUUGGGACCAUGUUUUUGAAACACCCUGUAGUAUUGCUGGAGACACAUCCCCUGGUCCCUCUGCUUCCAAAUUUGCAUGAAGCCUUGUGUCGAGUCCCCAGCUCCAUUCAAGAGAGUCUGGUUAGGCACUGGCAAAACCAGUGUUCGUCCUGUACCAUGUAUGAAUCAAAAUUUGUCGCACACCAUUUUCCCCUUGUAAAAGAAAGGCAAACGAAUAUCCAAAAAAUCCCCAAACGUAUGAAAAUGACCAACCGUACAUCAGUAAAAAGAAAUCAAUAAUUCAAUAAAGAACACUGAUGGUCAACAGAAAA